rnacentral:rRNA from 1 species
GAUGAACGCUGGCGGCGUGCCUAAUACAUGCAAGUCGAACGAUUAAAGCACCUUCGGGUGCGUAUAAAGUGGCGAACGGCCGAGUAACACGCGGGCAACUUGCCUCCUUCAUUGGGAUAGCCACGGGAAACCGUGGAUAAUACCUAACACUUCGUGUCUUCCGCAUGGAAGACCCGAGAAAGCUCCGGCGGAGAGGGAUGGGUCCGCGGCCUGUUAGCUUGUUGGUGCGGUAACGGCCUACCAAGGCAAUGAUGGGUAGCUGGGUUGAGAGACCGACCAGGCAGAAUGGGACUGAGACACGGCGCAGACUCCUACGGGAGGCAGCAGUGGAGAGUCUUGCACAAUGGGCGAGAGCCUGAUGCAGCGACGCUGCGUGCGGGAUGAAGGCCUUCGGGUUGUGAACCGCUUUCAGCAGGGACGAGGCGAAAGUGACGGUACCUGCAGAAGAAGCCCCGGCUAACUACGUG